UAUGUGAUCGUCUCUCGCAUAUCAAUAAGCGGAGGAAAAGAAACUAACAAGGAUUCCCCUAGUAACGGCGAGUGAAGCGGGAAGAGCUCAAAUUUGAAAUCUUAAAGGGUUUCCCUUUACGAAUUGUAGUUUAAAGAAGUGUUUUCUGUUGAGGUUUUGGUAAAAGUUCUUUGGAAUAGGACAUCAUAGAGGGUGAGAAUCCCGUAUUUGACCUUUACUUUCAACUUUGUGAUACACCUUUCAAAGAGUCGGAUUGUUUGGGAAUGCAGUCCAAAAUGGGUGGUAAAUUUCAUCUAAAGCUAAAUAUUGGCGAGGAGACCGAUAGCGAACAAGUACCGUGAGGGAAAGAUGAAAAGAACUUUGAAAAGAGAGUUAAACAGUACGUGAAAUUGUCAAAAGGGAAGCGUUUGACACCAGUGUUGUUUUUCUGAAAAUCAAUUAAAGAACUGUUUAUGCUAAGCUGUUUAGACUUUAUCAGCUAUCUGUUUAGUUUUGAGCUUUUCUUUAAUGCACUUUUCAGUUAACAAGUCAACAUCAAUUUCUUUUGCUGUAAAAAAGCUUGAGGAAGGUGGCUUGAGAUUCGUCUUAAGUGUUUAUAGCCUCUUGCCUAUGCAGUCGGAGAGAUUGAGGUCUGCAGCGUAGAUCCUUCGGGGCUAAAUGCAUUUGUGCUAAGUUAUAGCAUUUUAUAGACAACUUGUUGACUAUGAUUUGUCUUGUAGCUUACUCGCUUAUGUUAUUUUACCUACGCUUAGGAUGUUGAGCGCAUGUCUCUCUCU
rnacentral:rRNA from 1 species